rnacentral:rRNA from 1 species
GAUGAACGCUGGCGGCGUGCCUAAUACAUGCAAGUCGAGCGAACGGACGAGAAGCUUGCUUCUCUGAUGUUAGCGGCGGACGGGUGAGUAACACGUGGAUAACCUACCUAUAAGACUGGGAUAACUUCGGGAAACCGGAGCUAAUACCGGAUAAUAUUUUGAACCGCAUGGUUCAAAAGUAAAAGACGGUCUUGCUGUCACUUAUAGAUGGAUCCGCGCUGCAUUAGCUAGUUGGUAAGGUAACGGCUUACCAAGGCAACGAUGCAUAGCCGACCUGAGAGGGUGAUCGGCCACACUGGAACUGAGACACGGUCCAGACUCCUACGGGAGGCAGCAGUAGGGAAUCUUCCGCAAUGGGCGAAAGCCUGACGGAGCAACGCCGCGUGAGUGAUGAAGGUCUUCGGAUCGUAAAACUCUGUUAUUAGGGAAGAAUAUAUGUGUAAGUAACUGUGCACAUCUUGACGGUACCUAAUCAGAAAGCCACGGCUAACUACGUGCCAGCAGCCGCGGUAAUACGUAGGUGGCAAGCGUUAUCCGGAAUUAUUGGGCGUAAAGCGCGCGUAGGCGGUUUUUUAAGUCUGAUGUGAAAGCCCACGGCUCAACCGUGGAGGGUCAUUGGAAACUGGAAAACUUGAGUGCAGAAGAGGAAAGUGGAACUCCAUGUGUAGCGGUGAAAUGCGCAGAGAUAUGGAGGAACACCAGUGGCGAAGGCGACUUUCUGGUCUGUAACUGACGCUGAUGUGCGAAAGCGUGGGGAUCAAACAGGAUUAGAUACCCUGGUAGUCCACGCCGUAAACGAUGAGUGCUAAGUGUUAGGGGGUUUCCGCCCCUUAGUGCUGCAGCUAACGCAUUAAGCACUCCGCCUGGGGAGUACGACCGCAAGGUUGAAACUCAAAGGAAUUGACGGGGACCCGCACAAGCGGUGGAGCAUGUGGUUUAAUUCGAAGCAACGCGAAGAACCUUACCAAAUCUUGACAUCCUUUGACAACUCUAGAGAUAGAGCCUUCCCCUUCGGGGGACAAAGUGACAGGUGGUGCAUGGUUGUCGUCAGCUCGUGUCGUGAGAUGUUGGGUUAAGUCCCGCAACGAGCGCAACCCUUAAGCUUAGUUGCCAUCAUUAAGUUGGGCACUCUAAGUUGACUGCCGGUGACAAACCGGAGGAAGGUGGGGAUGACGUCAAAUCAUCAUGCCCCUUAUGAUUUGGGCUACACACGUGCUACAAUGGACAAUACAAAGGGCAGCGAAACCGCGAGGUCAAGCAAAUCCCAUAAAGUUGUUCUCAGUUCGGAUUGUAGUCUGCAACUCGACUACAUGAAGCUGGAAUCGCUAGUAAUCGUAGAUCAGCAUGCUACGGUGAAUACGUUCCCGGGUCU